GGGAAUAUUGGACAAUGGGGGAAACCCUGAUCCAGCGACGCCGCGUGUGUGAAGAAGGCCUGCGGGUUGUAAAGCACUUUUAGUGGGGACAAAAAGCCAUCGACUAAUACUCUGUGGUCUUGAUUUAACCCAAAGAAAAAGCACCGGCUAACUCUGUGCCAGCAGCCGCGGUAAUACAGAGGGUGCGAGCGUUAAUCGGAAUUACUGGGCGUAAAGCGCGCGUAGACGGUUUUGUAAGUCAGAUGUGAAAUCCCUGGGCUCAACCUGGGAACUGCAUUUGAUACUGCAUGGCUAGAGUAUCGAAGAGGGAAGUGGAAUUUCCGGUGUAGCGGUGAAAUGCGUAGAUAUCGGAAGGAACACCAGUGGCGAAAGCGACUUCCUGGUCGAAUACUGACGUUCAUGUGCGAAAGCGUGGGGAGCAAACA
rnacentral:rRNA from 1 species